AUUCAAUCUCCUGUAGCCCAGGGUGGCCUGGAGUCCUGGGAUUAAAGGGAUGUGCCACCACUCCCUGGCCUCUAAUAAACAAAGCUUUCCUGAUGAUAAGAGUACAGAGCUAAGCUACUAGAGGCCUAAGGUGAACCAUGUCCAGGUCCUAACUCACUCCUGGGCUGUGAAAUCCGAGGCAGUGAUUUCUCACGUCAUCUGGGAACACGUUCAUGUAGACUUUACAAAUGCUGACUGACUUCGAUCUUCAAUGCCAUCGACUGCUGAGUUCCCUGUGUAACUAAGUAUGUCUCUCACUUUUCAUGUUUCUUAAAUACUUUUAUAAUUAGAUCUAGAAUUUUUAAGUGAUAUUUAAUAUUCCAAUAGGAACAUUUAUUUUCUUUGUUUUUCUUCAAGACAGGGUUUCUCUGUAUAGCCCUAACUGUCCUGGAACUCACUUUGCAGACCAGAUUGGCUCAAACUAAGAUCUACCUUCCUCUGCCUCCCAAGUACUGGGAUUAAGAGAUUAAAUGCCACCAGUGCUUGGCUCACAGGUACAUUUCUAAGUAGUAAAAUAAUCCUAAUCUUGGCUUAAUGAA